AAAUUAUUGCCCAAGCAGGGCGAAAAUAUGCCAUUACUAUUUCUACGAAUAUGGCUGGCAGAGGCACCGAUAUAAUUCUGGGAGGAAACCCAAAAAUGCUCGCCAAAGAAAUUGUAGAUGACAGCUUGCUUUCUUUUUUAACGCGAGAAGCUCCUGAUGUUGAAGUCGAUGGCCAAAAAAACUUUCAAAAGGUAAUGUCAAAGAUAAAGGUUGGGUCAACAUCAUUAGCUCUACUAGCAAAGACUGCACUAAUGGGUUUGUGACUCUGCUUGAAAGCUUUUAAAACUCUUUGUUUUAGAUGGUAC